CUAUUCGGACUUUCUUCAAUCUUUCUGUCAUGUGGCAGUGUCCUUCAGAAAGAAUGGGUUGUAUGAAUACAUUUUUGCAAUAUCUACUUCAGCGAGAUCAGGCUGACUUUAUUGUGCCUAUACAGAUUUACCAAGGCACUGGAAGAUAAUUGAGCUUUAAUCUUUCCACUAAACUCGGCAGGUCCAGAGCAGCUCCUGGGAAUUAUUUCAGCAGCCUGAGGCUCACAGGCUGUUUCUGAACAGAGAGAUCUGAUGAACUCUUCACAGGAAGAAUGAGGUGAAAACCGUUCUGAUCCUUCCAUGGACUGUCUGGUGCUAUUCAUUUCUCAAGAUAGCAAGCCUUGCACAUAGAAUAUUAUUGAG
rnacentral:lncRNA from 1 species